rnacentral:rRNA from 1 species
GAUGAACGCUGGCGGCGUGCCUAAUACAUGCAAGUCGAGCGAACAGACGAGGAGCUUGCUCCUCUGACGUUAGCGGCGGACGGGUGAGUAACACGUGGAUAACCUACCUAUAAGACUGGGAUAACUUCGGGAAACCGGAGCUAAUACCGGAUAAUAUAUUGAACCGCAUGGUUCAAUAGUGAAAGACGGUUUUGCUGUCACUUAUAGAUGGAUCCGCGCCGCAUUAGCUAGUUGGUAAGGUAACGGCUUACCAAGGGAACGAUGCGUAGCCGACCUGAGAGGGUAAUCGGCCACACUGGAAAUGGGACACGGUCCAGACUCAUACGGGAGGCAGCUGUAGGGAAUCUUCCGCAAUGGGCGAAAGCCUGACGGAGCAACGCAGCGUGAGUGAUGAAGGUCUUCGGAUCGUAAAACUCUGUUAUUAGGGAAGAACAAAUGUGUAAGUAACUAUGCACGUCUUGACGGUACCUAAUCAUAAAGCCACGGCUAACUACGUG